rnacentral:rRNA from 1 species
GACGAACGCUGGCGGCGUGCUUAACACAUGCAAGUCGAACGGAAAGGCCCUGCUUUUGUGGGGUGCUCGAGUGGCGAACGGGUGAGUAACACGUGAGUAACCUGCCCUUGACUUUGGGAUAACUUCAGGAAACUGGGGCUAAUACCGGAUAGGAGCUCCUGCUGCAUGGUGGGGGUUGGAAAGUUUCGGCGGUUGGGGAUGGACUCGCGGCUUAUCAGCUUGUUGGUGAGGUAGUGGCUUACCAAGGCUUUGACGGGUAGCCGGCCUGUGAGGGGGACCGGCCACAUUGGGCCUGAGGUACGGCCCAGACUCCUACGGGAGGCAGCAGUGGGGAAUAUUGCACAGUGGGCGGAAGCCUGAUGCAGCAACGCCGCGUGCGGGAUGACGGCCUUCGGGUUGUAAACCGCUUUCGCCUGUGACGAAGCGUGAGUGACGGUAAUGGGUAAAGAAGCACCGGCUAACUACGUG